rnacentral:rRNA from 1 species
AAAUUGAAGAGUUUGAUCAUGGCUCAGAUUGAACGCUGGCGGCAGGCCUAACACAUGCAAGUCGAACGGUAACAGGAAACAGCUUGCUGUUUCGCUGACGAGUGGCGGACGGGUGAGUAAUGUCUGGGAAACUGCCUGAUGGAGGGGGAUAACUACUGGAAACGGUAGCUAAUACCGCAUAACGUCGCAAGACCAAAGAGGGGGACCUUCGGGCCUCUUGCCAUCGGAUGUGCCCAGAUGGGAUUAGCUAGUAGGUGGGGUAACGGCUCACCUAGGCGACGAUCCCUAGCUGGUCUGAGAGGAUGACCAGCCACACUGGAACUGAGACACGGUCCAGACUCCUACGGGAGGCAGCAGUGGGGAAUAUUGCACAAUGGGCGCAAGCCUGAUGCAGCCAUGCCGCGUGUAUGAAGAAGGCCUUCGGGUUGUAAAGUACUUUCAGCGGGGAGGAAGGGAGUAAAGUUAAUACCUUUGCUCAUUGACGUUACCCGCAGAAGAAGCACCGGCUAACUCCGUGCCAGCAGCCGCGGUAAUACGGAGGGUGCAAGCGUUAAUCGGAAUUACUGGGCGUAAAGCGCACGCAGGCGGUUUGUUAAGUCAGAUGUGAAAUCCCCGGGCUCAACCUGGGAACUGCAUCUGAUACUGGCAAGCUUGAGUCUCGUAGAGGGGGGUAGAAUUCCAGGUGUAGCGGUGAAAUGCGUAGAGAUCUGGAGGAAUACCGGUGGCGAAGGCGGCCCCCUGGACGAAGACUGACGCUCAGGUGCGAAAGCGUGGGGAGCAAACAGGAUUAGAUACCCUGGUAGUCCACGCCGUAAACGAUGUCGACUUGGAGGUUGUGCCCUUGAGGCGUGGCUUCCGGAGCUAACGCGUUAAGUCGACCGCCUGGGGAGUACGGCCGCAAGGUUAAAACUCAAAUGAAUUGACGGGGGCCCGCACAAGCGGUGGAGCAUGUGGUUUAAUUCGAUGCAACGCGAAGAACCUUACCUGGUCUUGACAUCCACGGAAGUUUUCAGAGAUGAGAAUGUGCCUUCGGGAACCGUGAGACAGGUGCUGCAUGGCUGUCGUCAGCUCGUGUUGUGAAAUGUUGGGUUAAGUCCCGCAACGAGCGCAACCCUUAUCCUUUGUUGCCAGCGGUCCGGCCGGGAACUCAAAGGAGACUGCCAGUGAUAAACUGGAGGAAGGUGGGGAUGACGUCAAGUCAUCAUGGCCCUUACGACCAGGGCUACACACGUGCUACAAUGGCGCAUACAAAGAGAAGCGACCUCGCGAGAGUAAGCGGACCUCAUAAAGUGCGUCGUAGUCCGGAUUGGAGUCUGCAACUCGACUCCAUGAAGUCGGAAUCGCUAGUAAUCGUGGAUCAGAAUGCCACGGUGAAUACGUUCCCGGGCCUUGUACACACCGCCCGUCACACCAUGGGAGUGGGUUGCAAAAGAAGUAGGUAGCUUAACCUUCGGGAGGGCGCUUACCACUUUGUGAUUCAUGACUGGGGUGAAGUCGUAACAAGGUAACCGUAGGGGAACCUGCGGUUGGAUCACCUCCUUA